rnacentral:ncRNA from 1 species
CUGGUUGAUCCUGCCAGUAGUCAUAUGCUUGUCUCAAAGAUUAAGCCAUGCAAGUCUAAGUACGAGCUCUCGUACAGUGAAACUGCGAAUGGCUCAUUAAAUCAGUUAUGGUUCAUUUGAUCGUACAGUUUACUUGGAUAACUGUGGUAAUUCUAGAGCUAAUACAUGCGAGAAGCGCCGACCUCGCGGGAGGCGUGCAUUUAUCAGACCAAAAACCGGCCGCGUCUUCGGGCGCGUUCGCCUUGGUGACUCUGGAUAACUUUGCGGAUCGCACGGUCUAGCACCGGCGACGGAUCAUUCAAGUGUUUGCCCUAUCAACUUUCGUCGGUACGGUAUUUGCCUACCGAGGUUCUUACGGGUGACGGGGAAUCAGGGUUCGAUUCCGGAGAGGGAGCCUGAGAAACGGCUACCACAUCCAAGGAAGGCAGCAGGCGCGCAAAUUACCCAUUCCCGACGCGGGGAGGUAGUGACGAAAAAUAACAAUGCAGGACUCGUUCGAGGCCCUGUAAUUGGAAUGAGUACACUUUAAAAGCUUUAACGAGUAUCCAUUGGAGGGCAAGUCUGGUGCCAGCAGCCGCGGUAAUUCCAGCUCCAAAAGUAUAUAUUUAAGUU